GCGGGGCGCGGCGAGCACGAAGUGGAAAGACCCGCCCCCUGCCCCCCGCCCACUGUCCCCCGUCCCCCGCCGCGGCCGGCGGAGCAGGAGAGGUUUGGUUGCUUGUUGGCCUUAACACAUGCCUCCAAAUUACAAAACAAGAUUUACUACCAGGUACACAUCGGAAGAAGCAGGUGUUAAUACCACUGGAACUUUGCCUUGCAAAUUAUUUACAUAAUCUGGAUAUGACUCAUUGCUCUUGGUGUAAUCCCCAAGGACCAGAAGCUCUACUUUAAAGAAAAAGAAACAUAAGAAGGAACUGAAGUAUGGGAAUCUUUUCAACCAUUACAACGCUUCAAGGUGUAUUUAUUUUCCAUUCUUUCACAGAGGCUAUAUCCAGUACGUCUGGAAACCUCAUUGGCUCUACCUUCAAAAUAUAUUCAGAAUUCAGGAAGUUCCUCAGGCAAAAAGGAAUAUGAGACCAACCAUAAACCUGGAUCUACAUCAAGAAAUGAAGAGUAUGGGAAAUGGAGUAAAACAAGGAGGACAACAGAUUCCUACAUUGCGCUCAGGCUACCUGCAUCCGGUCUGGCCCUUCAUUUUGGAGCCUCUCACAAGGAAAACAGAAAAAAGCAGGAGCAACCAUGAGUCCACCAGGAAACAAAGCUUUCCCUGAAGAACUUCCGAGCAGACUUCUCUGUACGGCUCAUUUGUCAGACAAGCCAGAUGACUGACCCAGCUGCAGGGGAGACCAGAAAGUGGGGAACAGGAUCGCUAUGAUUGUAUUACCCCAUCAAGAUCCAUUGACUCGAGAUGGGCACAUUGGCACCUCAAAAAACCAAGAAGAAAGUGAAAACAGAUAUUGAUUAAGUAAUUUGCAACAUCUGCAACAAACACCAUCCUCCUUCCAAUCAGACAUCAGGUUAAGUCUACUCUAGCCCUUAAAUAUCUCUAAAAUGCGGCUCAUUUAUCACUACCCCCACUUUAACCUAAAUUACUAUCAUCUAUGCUCAGGAUCAGACCAUCAGACUCUUCAUUGUUUCUCUGCUGUAUAAUACUGUUUCUUCCUUCCAAUUUCUUCUCCAACUUUAUCCAGUGUGAUCUUUCAUGGAGUUAAAUCUGAACUUGUUAUUCAUUUGGCUUAAACCACUUCAGCGGCAAACACCAGGCUAUUUCUUUCCUCUGCUCAUCUGGUCCCCCCUGCGUAGUAGGGGGGGGACCAACCACUUGGUUGGGACCAACCACUUCACCAACCACGCCCACUUACCCACGUGUAGCUAAUUCCUAGUUAUCCUUUAAGGUUUUCUCUCACUCUUCCCAUCACAUCGCUCAUCUCUCAGCUAAGGUAGGUGCAACUUCAUGUGUUCUCAAAUAGUGUAUUUGUAUUGUAUAAUUGUUCUGUUUAAUACAAUUCUGUAUUAUUAUUGUCUCAUAUCGUUGUCAU